rnacentral:rRNA from 1 species
AGGGAAUCUUCCGCAAUGGACGAAAGUCUGACGGAGCAACGCCGCGUGAGUGAUGAAGGCUUUCGGGUCGUAAAACUCUGUUGUUAGGGAAGAACAAGUGCUAGUUGAAUAAGCUGGCACCUUGACGGUACCUAACCAGAAAGCCACGGCUAACUACGUGCCAGCAGCCGCGGUAAUACGUAGGUGGCAAGCGUUAUCCGGAAUUAUUGGGCGUAAAGCGCGCGCAGGUGGUUUCUUAAGUCUGAUGUGAAAGCCCACGGCUCAACCGUGGAGGGUCAUUGGAAACUGGGAGACUUGAGUGCAGAAGAGGAAAGUGGAAUUCCAUGUGUAGCGGUGAAAUGCGUAGAGAUAUGGAGGAACACCAGUGGCGAAGGCGACUUUCUGGUCUGUAACUGACACUGAGGCGCGAAAGCGUGGGGAGCAAACAGGAUUAGAUACCCUGGUAGUCCACGCCGUAAACGAUGAGUGCUAAGUGUUAGAGGGUUUCCGCCCUUUAGUGCUGAAGUUAACGCAUUAAGCACUCCGCCUGGGGAGUACGGCCGCAAGGCUG